AUUGAACGCUGGCGGCAGGCCUAACACAUGCAAGUCGAGCGAGCGGCGGACGGGUGGGUAAUGUCUGGGAACCUGCCUGAUGGGAGGGGCUAACUACAGGAAACGGUAGCUAAUACCGCAUACCAUCAGAUGUGCCCAGAUGGGAGUAGCUAGUAGGUGGGGUAACGGCCCACCUAGGCGACGAUCACUAGCUGGUCGGAGAGGAUGACCAGCCACACUGGAACUGAGACACGGUCCAGACGCCUACGGGAGGCAGCAGUGGGGAAUAUGGCACAAUGGGCGCAAGCCUGAUGCAGCCAUGCCGCGUGUGUGAAGAAGGCCUUCGGGUUGUAAAGCACUGUCAGCGGGGAGGCGUUACCCGCAGAAGAAGCACCGGCUAACUCCGUGCCAGCAGCCGCGGUAAUAC
rnacentral:rRNA from 1 species